rfam:Trichosporon oleaginosus strain IBC0246 unplaced genomic scaffold CC85scaffold_28, whole genome shotgun sequence.
UGCCCUAUGGCUCAGUUGGUUAGCGCGUGGAGCUGUUAUGUUGGUCUGUAUAUGCAGAUCGCUUGCGACUCCGAGGUCCACGGUUCGAGUCCGUGUGGGGCAG